rnacentral:rRNA from 1 species
UGCCAGACUCCUACGGGAGGCAGCAGUGGGGAAUAUUGCGCAAUGGGGGAAACCCUGACGCAGCAACGCCGCGUGAGUGAAGAAGUAUCUCGGUAUGUAAAGCUCUAUCAGCGGGGAAGAAAGAGGACGGUACCCGACUAAGAAGCCCCGACUAACUACGUGCCAGCAGCCACGGUAAUACGUAGGGGGCGAGCGUUAUCCGGAUUUACUGGGUGUAAAGGGAGCGUAGACGGCGUCGCAAGUCUGAAGUGAAAGCCCGUGGCUCAACCGCGGAACCGCUUUGGAAACUGCGAGGCUGGAGUGCUGGAGAGGUAAGCGGAAUUCCUGGUGUAGCGGUGAAAUGCGUAGAUAUCAGGAGGAACACCAGUGGCGAAGGCGACUUACUGGACUGUAACUGACGUUGAGGCACGAAAGUGUGGGGAGCAAACAGGAUUAGAUACCCGGGUACC